GAGCGUUAUCUUCACUCUUGCUUUCCCUUCGGUUCUCCCCCUCCCACCCAAUCCCUACUUCUCCGGCCGACCGGCGAUGUCUACUUCUCCGGUGAUGUGAGACUUGCUCCCUCUAUCUCACCCGCUGGAGGCCGAAUCUGUUCCCCGCCCCGGCCACCUCUUCAACGAGGCGAGUAGGAGGAGCUCAAGUACUCAACAGUAAGCUACUUACAUGAUGGAGGCUGCACGAUCUCCCCCUUGGUCACCCGGAACUCCUUGGCCUUGUCCUCAAGCGCCUCCCUUCCUUAGCUGAUCGUGUUUGUCUAAGAGCUGUCUGCCACCCAUGGCGCUCUAAUAGUAUGUUGCAACCCCUUCCUCUCCCAUUCCCGUGGCUCACUCUCCCUGACGGUACCUUCCUCAGCAUUCCAAGUGGUGAAAUUCACCACAUAUCUUUACCAGAAGGUGCGUGUUGCCAGGGCUCCAUUGGAAACUGGCUAUUCCUCACGCACAAUGAUGAUGUGUGCUACUUGAUGAACCCUUUCUCCAAAACCAGGUCGGAGCUUCCUAAGCUAGCCAAAGUAUGGAAGCGCAGAAUAUUGGAUCCCGACACUAGAUUCAAUCCAAUUUUCUACAAGUUGGUGGUGCCCUUUCCCCUUGACUCGUCGCCCUGUUCCCUUGUUGCUGCAAUGAUCGUGGACGAUAGUGAGUGCGGUACACUUUGUAUUAGCAAACCACCGAUUGUCACUGACUCUUUCAGAGACGAUGAGCUUCCAGUUCUGGAACUUGAGGAUGUUGCAUUCUUUGAUGAAAAGUUGUACGUCUUGGCGGGGUUUGGCCAACUGAUCAUAUUUGAAUUAGACAAGGACCUUCGUAUUUCAUUCAUGGAGUGCAUAAUUGACUCUGUGAUGGACUUAGGUGGAACACUGAAUCCUUUCCGAGAGAGGCGUGUAUGAUAAGGCAGUAUCUGGUUGAAUGUGGCGGUAGACUGUUGAUGGUGAUACGGUGGAUUCGCUCUAUGGCCCAUCCAACAAGUGAUGACUAUUCGGAGCAUGACCGUACUUUUGCACUUGUGGUUUUUGAGGCAGAUUUGCGCGCCGCCGAACGUGUUGGAUGGAGAACAGUAAGUGACUUGGAUGGCCAUGCGAUCUUUGUCGGCAAGCAUAGCUCCAAGUCCCUGCGUGCUGAAGAAUGCAGUGGAUACCAAGAGGAUUGUAUCUACUUCAUGUGUGACUAUCCCGAGCCGAAGGAUUCUGCAAAUCCUCUUCGUGAUGCCGGUGUUUACAACAUUAGGAUCAGGAAUGAGACAUUCAUGCCGUUGAUGUCGGGGACUGCAGCAGUACCGCCAUGUCACGUUGGCCAGUGGCAUCCGACAUGGUUUUUCCCUCCUGAAACUGUAUGAUCGGGCCUUGUGAUAUAUGAUCCUGAGAGUAACUGGUGGGUAAUGUAUCUGAGAGGGGAGUUGGAAGGACUUCUUCCUCGCAGGGACAGGUGAGUUGUUGAUGGAAGGUAGAGAUCCGUAGUGUUAGUUUCUGUGUUGGUACUUGGUAGGCUGGUAGGUUUAGUUUGAUGAGUGAUGUGUUCUACCUGGUGGCUGUUGUUCUGUCUUGUGGUGGCUGAACUUGGUGACCUUGUCCUAGUGUAGCGUUGUAACUGCUGUCACCUGAACUUUAAAAUGCAGGGCGCUGUAUCAUCAGUUUUAUUUUAAAGGAUAAUUGGUUUGAUGCCAACAUUUGGUAUUACUUGGCAAGCCAACAAUUGGCAAUAUCAAAAGUUUCCAAAGAUCGGCAACUUCUUGUGAGGCUGGCAAGUAAACUUGGUAACCAACCAAGCACUAGCCAAUAUUUGGCAUUUGCCAACUGUUGGCUUGCCAAUUUUUGGCAUCAAAACCAAUCACGCUCUUAAUUAAAUUGGAGGGUGUGUUCUCCUUUUGUCAAAAUUUUCUUGUAUGAUGUUAGGUUCUUAAUUAGUAUGUUGAUAGGGAUGUUCUGCAUUUUCAAGUAUUAUGGAUGAUUUGUUUUCGCUGGUAUUAUGGAUGACUUUUAACAGGACGCACUAUAAUGCAAGUCUUUUGCUGUGAUACAAGACUAAAGGCAUCUCUAACAGAAGCUUUAAAUUCUGUAACUCCUCAUAUUGGCAUCAUUUGGGGAGUCAAACCGUAGCUAACGGGAGCCCUAUAACUAUAACUCCUCAAAAUUUUGAGUUAACCCUAUGUCUUCUCUGCUCAAAUUCGAGCACGUCACAUCCAUUCUUCUCAAAUCUCCUCUCAUCAAAAAAAUGGCUCAACCGGCAGCGAGAUGCCAAAUUGAACCCGCCCACGCCAGUACAAAACCUGCCGGUGCCACACCAAACCCUAAAUCUUUCUUGGCCGCCCCAUUUCUCCCCAAAUCGCCGCCGCCGCCACCCAAUUUUGUCAUCGCCGUUCGAAUUGCCAUGGCUCGUCACCUGCCGCGGGUAGAGCAGUGGGAUGUCACCGCGGCGGACGUCAUCCUCAGACGAUGACUGCAAUGACGAGCCAAAGGUGGCGCAGCUCGCAGCGGCCAUGGGCAAGGAAGCCGAUGAAGAGGAGGAGGGGCAAGGCGAUGGAGGAGGAUGGGUCGGCGGCGAAGGAAGCCAUGCACGUGGACGGCGCCAGCGACCAAACCUACCUCCUCUCAUGGGAGGAGGCGGAGCGGAUCGAUACAAUAGUUAUCGGUGUGCACUUUGGUAGCUGUGUAGGCGCUCGAGUACCGAGUUCGGUGUGUUACAGGGUGUUGGCCUUCCGUCGCUUUGUAUGUACCAUGGUGCUUUAGGUCUAAUCUAGCUAGCCGUUGCUUUAGGUUUUUGCUCGGUUUUCCUUAGUAUAAACCGAGCAGCCUCUUUGUUAUUUACACCUGUCUUUAUGUGGUGCAUUAUUUCUCUGGGUUCUUCUUGUAAUACUUUUUUUAAUCAAUGGAUUUGACAGCUCUCCUGUCAACAAUAUAAAAUGAUAAGGUUAGAGCAUCUUCACCGCAUACCUCUAAUUCGACCCCUCAAACACUUGCGGACGCGCCUGGUCAAUGACAAGGCGUGUCCGUUUUGAACGCCUAUUUAUUCAUCCACGCAGCCAUUAGUCUCAUUUUCUUUCUCAUAUUCGGGUCACUUGCACGUAAUUGAUGGAGAUGAAGAGAGAAAGAAAAGAAUGAAUAAAGAAAAAGAAAAGGUGGUCCGGGAUGGGACUGCGUCUUAUGUGACGGAUUGACUGGGCGCGCCCGGACGUGUCCGCGAGCCCUCAUAUCCUCCCCGUAUUUGAGAUGGAUAUGCGGGUUCACAGACAGCCCGGACAUAUAAAGAAGAUAUAAGGGGUUCGGUUGGGUCAUGCUUUUUCUUCUCUCUCCUGUACGGUCAUUGACCAGGCGCGUCCACGAACAUAUGAGAGAUGGUUUGAGGCAUCGGCUGUAGAUGCUCUUAAACAGAUAUUAUAGAAUGAUAUCGAAGAUGGGCAUGUAAAUUUGUUUCCAAGAUUUCUUAAAUGUUUGAAAGGCUUUUCUAGUUAUCGUUUUAAGUAGGAUCUCGCUCACUCUGUCCUCUUCCCAUCGGCCUUCCCCGGCCAGGUUCCAAUCCCUACUGCUCUGUCGAUUUGAGACUUGCCUCUGACUAGCAAGCCUCCCGCCCCACCUCAUCCGCUGGAGGCCGAAUCUGUUCCCCGCCAUCCACCGGCUCGCCGACGAGGCACCAAGACUCAGCAGUAAGCUGAUGGAGAACAGUAAGCGAUUUGGAUGGCCAUGCGCUCUUUCUUGGCCAACAUAGCUGCAAGUCCCUGCGUGCUGGAGAAUGCACUGGAUACCAAGAGGACUGCAUCUACUUCAUGUGUGACUAUCCCUGGCCGAAGUAUUCUGCAAAUCCUCUUCGCGACGCAGGUGUUUACAAUGUCAGGAAUGAGACGUUCAUGCCGCUGAUGUCAGGCACCGCAGCAGUACCACCACGUCACGCUGGCCAGUGGCGUCCGACAUGGUUUUUCCCUCCUGAAGCUGUAUGAUCAAGCCUUGUAAUCUACUGAUCCUGAGAGUAACUGUUUGGUAAUGAAUCUGAGAUUGGAGUUGGAAGGGCUUCUUCCUCACUACAACAGGUGAGUUGUUGAUGGACGGUAGAGAUUCGCAGUGUUAGUUUCUGUGUUGGUAGGCUGGUAGGUUCAGUUUGAUGAAUGUUGUGUUCUACCUGCUGGCUGUUGUUCUGUUCUGUGGUGGCUGAACUUAGUGUUCUUGUCCUAGUGUAGCGUUGUAACUGAUGUCACCUGAACUUCAAAACGCCGGGUGCUGUAUCAUCAGUUUAAUUUCAAUGAAGUUGGAGGUGUGUUCGCCUUGUGUCGAAUUUUUCUUGUAUGAUGUUAUAUUCUUAAUUAGUAUGUUGAUAGGGAUGUUUUGCA